rnacentral:snoRNA from 1 species
GAGCUUCCUGAAGUUUACCACAGGCUGUGUUCUUUACACUGACAGUAGAGAAUGAAAAGAUACAGUGAAACUAUCCCAUAUACAUCCCAGUCCAUGACCUUUGCCUGGUCUUUAUUGUGAAUGAGGUACAUGA